UACGUAGGGGGCAAGCGUUAUCCGGAUUUACUGGGUGUAAAGGGAGCGUAGGUGGCAAGGCAAGUCAGAUGUGAAAACCCGGGGCCCAACCCCGGGAGUGCAUUUGAAACUGUCUGGCUAGAGUGCAGGAGAGGUAAGUGGAAUUCCUAGUGUAGCGGUGGAAUGCGUAGAUAUAUGGAAGAACACCAGUGGCGAAGGCAGCUUACCGGCGCUCAACUGACGCUGAGGCACGAAAGUGCGGGUAUCGAACAGG
rnacentral:rRNA from 1 species